UACGGAGGGUGCAAGCGUUGUUCGGGUUCAUUGGGCGUAAAGGGUGCGUAGGCGGCGCGGUAAGUCGGAUGUGAAAUCUCGGAGCUUAACUCCGAAACUGCAUUCGAUACUGCCGUGCUUGAGGACUGGAGAGGAGACUGGAAUUCAUGGUGUAGCAGUGAAAUGCGUAGAGAUCAUGAGGAAGACCAGUGGCGAAGGCGGGUCUCUGGACAGUUCCUGACACUGAGACACGAAGGCCAGGGGAGCAAACGGG
rnacentral:rRNA from 1 species